rnacentral:rRNA from 1 species
AUACGUAGGUGGCGAGCGUUAUCCGGAUUUACUGGGUGUAAAGGGUGAGUAGGCGGGGAGACAAGUCAGAAGUGAAAAUCAUGGGCUCAACCCAUGACUUGCUUUUGAAACUGUUUUCUUGAGUGUCGGAGAGGUAAUCGGAAUUCCGUGUGUAGCGGUGAAAUGCGUAGAUAUACGGAGGAACACCAGUGGCGAAGGCGGAUUACUGGACGAUAACUGACGCUGAGGCGCGAAAGCGUGGGGAGC